rnacentral:rRNA from 1 species
UACGAAGGGGGCUAGCGUUGCUCGGAAUCACUGGGCGUAAAGGGUGCGUAGGCGGGUCUUUAAGUCAGGGGUGAAAUCCUGGAGCUCAACUCCAGAACUGCCCUUGAUACUGAGGAUCUUGAGUUCGGGAGAGGUGAGUGGAACUGCGAGUGUAGAGGUGAAAUUCGUAGAUAUUCGCAAGAACACCAGUGGCGAAGGCGGCUCACUGGCCCGAUACUGACGCUGAGGCACGAAAAGCGUGGGGAGCAAACAGG